rnacentral:rRNA from 1 species
GAUGAACGCUGGCGGCGUGCCUAAUACAUGCAAGUCGAGCGAACAGACGAGGAGCUUGCUCCUCUGACGUUAGCGGCGGACGGGUGAGUAACACGUGGAUAACCUACCUAUAAGACUGGGAUAACUUCGGGAAACCGGAGCUAAUACCGGACAAUAUAUUGAACCGCAUGGUUCAAUAGUGAAAGACGGUUUUGCUGUCACUUAUAGAUGGAUCCGCGCCGGAUUAGCUAGUUGGUAAGGUAACGGCUUACCAAGGCAACGAUGCGUAGCCGACCUGAGAGGGUGAUAGGCCACACUGGAACUGAGACACGGUCCAGACUCCUACGGGAGGCAGCAGUAGGGAAUCUUGCGCAAUGGGCGAAAGCCUGACGCAGCAACGCCGCGUGAGUGAUGAAGGUCUUCGGAUCGUAAAACUCUGUUAUUAGGGAAGAACGAAUGUGUAAGUAACUAUGCACGUAUUGACGGUACCUAAUCAGAAAGCCACGGCUAACUACGUG